AGUGAACGCUGGCGGUAGGCCUAACACAUGCAAGUCGAACGGCAGCACAGGAGAGCUUGCUCUCUGGGUGGCGAGUGGCGGACGGGUGAGGAAUACAUCGGAAUCUACUCUGUCGUGAGGGAUAGCGUAGGGAAACUUACGCUAAUACCGCAUACGACCUACGGGUGAAAGCAGGGGACCUUCGGGCCUUGCGCGAUUGAAUGAGCCGAGGUCGGAUUAGCGAGUUGGCGGGGUAAAGGCCCACCAAGGCGACGAUCCGUAGCUGGUCUGAGAGGAUGAUCAGCCACACUGGAACUGAGAAACGGUCCAGACUCCUACGGGGGGCAGCAGUGGGGAAUAUUGGACAAUGGGCGCAAGCCUGAUCCAGCCAUACCGCGUGGGUGAAGAAGGCCUUCGGGUUGUAAAGCCCUUUUGUUGGGAAAGAAAUCCAGCUGGCUAAUACCCGGUUGGGAUGACGGUACCCAAAGAAUAAGCACCGGCUAACUUCGUGCCAGCAGCCGCGGUAA
rnacentral:rRNA from 1 species